UUUCCGUAGGUGAACCUGCGGAAGGAUCAUUACUGAGUGAGGGCCCUCUGGGUCCAACCUCCCACCCGUGUUUAUUGUGCCUUGUUGCUUCGGUGCGCCCGCCUCACGGCCGCCGGGGGGCUUCUGCCCCCGGGUCCGCGCGCACCGGAGACACCAUUGAACUCUGUCUGAAGAUUGCAGUCUGAGCAUAAACUAAAUAAGUUAAAACUUUCAACAACGGAUCUCUUGGUUCCG
rnacentral:misc_RNA from 1 species